CUGGUUGAUCCUGCCAGUAGUCAUGAUGCUUGUCUCAAAGAUUAAGCCAUGCAUGUCUAAGUUCAAGCGAAAAUAAAGUGAAACCGCGAAUGGCUCAUUACAUCAGUUAUGGUUCCUUAGAUCGCACUUACUACUUGGAUAACUGUGGUAAUUCUAGAGCUAAUACAUGCACUGAGCUCCAACCCUCGUGGAAGGAGCGCUUUUAUUAGAUCAAAGCCAAUCGGGCCUUCGGGUCCGUACCGUUGGUGACUCUGAAUAACUUUGCUGAUCGCAUGGUCUCGUACCGGCGACGUAUCUUUCAAGUGUCUGCCUUAUCAACUGUCGAUGGUAGGUUAUGCGCCUACCAUGGUUGUAACGGGUAACGGGGAAUCAGGGUUCGAUUCCGGAGAGGGAGCCUGAGAAACGGCUACCACAUCCAAGGAAGGCAGCAGGCGCGCAAAUUACCCACUCCCGGCACGGGGAGGUAGUGACGAAAAAUAACGAUACGGAACUCACAUGAGGCUCCGUAAUCGGAAUGAGUACACUUUAAAUCCUUUAACGAGGAUCUAUUGGAGGGCAAGUCUGGUGCCAGCAGCCGCGGUAAUUCCAGCUCCAAUAGCGUAUAUUAAAGUUGUUGCGGUUAAAAAGCUCGUAGUUGGAUCUCGGUUUCGGGCGGGUGGUGCGCCUUGCGGUGUUUACUGUCUGCCCGGACGAUUUUGUUGGUUCGUUCGUGGUUCUCUUAACCGAGUGCCACGGGUGGCCAGCACGUUUACUUUGAAAAAAUUGGAGUGCUCAAAGCAGGCGCUACAGCCUGAACAUUAGUGCAUGGAAUAAUGGAAUAGGACCUCGGUUCUAUUUCGUUGGCUUUCGGAGUCGAGGUAAUGAUUAAUAGGAACAGACGGGGGCAUUCGUACUGCGACGUUAGAGGUGAAAUUCUUGGAUCGUCGCAAGACGAACUACUGCGAAAGCAUUUGCCAAGAAUGUUUUCAUUAAUCAAGAACGAAAGUUAGAGGUUCGAAGGCGAUCAGAUACCGCCCUAGUUCUAACCAUAAACGAUGCCGACCGGCGAUCCGCCGUCGUUAAUUGAAUGACUCGGCGGGCAGCCUCCGGGAAACCAGAGUGUUUGGGUUCCGGGGGAAGUAUGGUUGCAAAGCUGAAACUUAAAGGAAUUGACGGAAGGGCACCACCAGGAGUGGAGCCUGCGGCUUAAUUUGACUCAACACGGGAAAUCUCACCAGGCCCGGACACCGGAAGGAUUGACAGAUUGAGAGCUCUUUCUUGAUUCGGUGGGUGGUGGUGCAUGGCCGUUCUUAGUUGGUGGAGCGAUUUGUCUGGUUAAUUCCGAUAACGAACGAGACUCUGGCCUACUAACUAGAUGUAGGAUCCCUUUGUGGGUCCGUCACUGCUUCUUAGAGGGACGGGCGGCUUUUAGCCGCACGAGAAUGAGCAAUAACAGGUCUGUGAUGCCCUUAGAUGUUCUGGGCUGCACGCGCGCUACACUGAAGGAAUCAGCGUGUGUUCCCUACCCGAAAGGGUUGGGAAACCCGUUGAACCUCCUUCGUGAUGGGGAUUGGGGAUUGCAAUUAUUCCCCAUGAACGAGGAAUUCCCAGUAGGCGCGAGUCAUAAGCUUGCGUCGAUUACGUCCCUGCCCUUUGUACACACCGCCCGUCGCUACUACCGAUCGAGUGAUUUAGUGAGGACUUCGGACUGGUCUUCGUGGUGGCUCUCGAGUCAUGACGGAGUUCCGGAAAGAUGCCCAAACUUGAUCACUUAGAGGAAGUAAAAGUCGUAACAAGGUUUCCGUAGGUGACCUGCA
rnacentral:rRNA from 1 species